CCCUAUUAUUUUUGAAUGUUAAUUGUUUUGCCUGAGUAGUAUUAGUUAUGUUCUUGAAACUUAAAGAAUUUGGCGGUAUCUUAUUCCGUCCAGAGGAAUCUGCCCCGUUAUCGAUAGUCCGCGUUGGACCUUACUUGGUUGCUUUGGUUUGUAUACCGCCGUUUAUUGUUUAUCUUUUUAGAGUUAAAAAUUUUCUGGUUUCUUUAUUUUGAUUUAUUUCAGGUCAAGGUGCAGCUUGUUUCUAAGUGGAUGGUGGAUUACAUUGUUAUUCGUUUUAUUGGAUUGCUUGGUUUAGAUUUAUUGGCAUGAAAUUGGAUUUGGUUGUAAUGUUUUGUAGAUUGUUUUCGUGAUAAAUGGUUCUGAGAUAUGCACACAUCGCCCGUCGCUCUCGUUUGAGUUGUUAAUGAGAUAAGUC
rnacentral:rRNA from 1 species